rnacentral:rRNA from 1 species
UACGUAGGGUGCGCGCGUUGUCCGGAAUUAUUGGGCGUAAAGCGCGCGCAGGCGGUCCUUUAAGUCUGAUGUGAAAGCCCACGGCUCAACCGUGGAGGGUCAUUGGAAACUGGGGGACUUGAGUACAGAAGAGGAAAGCGGAAUUCCACGUGUAGCGGUGAAAUGCGUAGAGAUGUGGAGGAACACCAGUGGCGAAGGCGGCUUUCUGGUCUGUAACUGACGCUGAGGCGCGAAAGCGUGGGGAGCAAACAGG